AUUCUUUCUAUGUGUUGCCUCUUUUAUUACUAUUCUCUCUUCUCAUGAGCCUAAUAAUAGAUACCGAUUGUAUUUGUAUCAAAUUUAUUAAACUUAUUUUUGCAAUGCGGCACAGUGCUUGAAGCUUGCUUCAACUCCGCCACGGGUUGGCCCGGUAUUGCACUAUCUCCGGGAUCUACCCCUCGUCU